rnacentral:rRNA from 1 species
AUGAACGCUAGCGACAGGCUUAACACAUGCAAGUCGAGGGGCAGCGGGGGUAGCAAUACCCGCCGGCGACCGGCGCACGGGUGAGUAACGCGUAUGCAACUUACCUAUCAGAGGGGGAUAACCCGGCGAAAGUCGGACUAAUACCGCAUGAAGCAGGGGCCCCGCAUGGGGAUAUUUGCUAAAGAUUCAUCGCUGAUAGAUAGGCAUGCGUUCCAUUAGGCAGUUGGCGGGGUAACGGCCCACCAAACCGACGAUGGAUAGGGGUUCUGAGAGGAAGGUCCCCCACAUUGGUACUGAGACACGGACCAAACUCCUACGGGAGGCAGCAGUGAGGAAUAUUGGUCAAUGGGCGUAAGCCUGAACCAGCCAAGUCGCGUGAGGGAUGAAGGUUCUAUGGAUCGUAAACCUCUUUUAUAAGGGAAUAAAGUGCGGGACGUGUCCCGUUUUGUAUGUACCUUAUGAAUAAGGAUCGGCUAACUCCGUGCCAGCAGCCGCGGUAAUACGGAGGAUCCGAGCGUUAUCCGGAUUUAUUGGGUUUAAAGGGUGCGUAGGCGGCCUUUUAAGUCAGCGGUGAAAGUCUGUGGCUCAACCAUAGAAUUGCCGUUGAAACUGGGGGGCUUGAGUAUGUUUGAGGCAGGCGGAAUGCGUGGUGUAGCGGUGAAAUGCUUAGAUAUCACGCAGAACCCCGAUUGCGAAGGCAGCCUGCCAAGCCAUGACUGACGCUGAUGCACGAAAGCGUGGGGAUCAAACAGGAUUAGAUACCCUGGUAGUCCACGCAGUAAACGAUGAUCACUAGCUGUUUGCGAUACAGUGUAAGCGGCACAGCGAAAGCGUUAAGUGAUCCACCUGGGGAGUACGCCGGCAACGGUGAAACUCAAAGGAAUUGACGGGGGCCCGCACAAGCGGAGGAACAUGUGGUUUAAUUCGAUGAUACGCGAGGAACCUUACCCGGGUUUGAACGCAUUCGGACCGAGGUGGAAACACCUUUUCUAGCAAUAGCCGUUUGCGAGGUGCUGCAUGGUUGUCGUCAGCUCGUGCCGUGAGGUGUCGGCUUAAGUGCCAUAACGAGCGCAACCCUUGCCACUAGUUACUAACAGGUAAAGCUGAGGACUCUGGUGGGACUGCCAGCGUAAGCUGCGAGGAAGGCGGGGAUGACGUCAAAUCAGCACGGCCCUUACAUCCGGGGCGACACACGUGUUACAAUGGCGUGGACAAAGGGAAGCCACCUGGCGACAGGGAGCGAAUCCCCAAACCACGUCUCAGUUCGGAUCGGAGUCUGCAACCCGACUCCGUGAAGCUGGAUUCGCUAGUAAUCGCGCAUCAGCCAUGGCGCGGUGAAUACGUUCCCGGGCCUUGUACACACCGCCCGUCAAGCCAUGGGAGCCGGGGGUACCUGAAGUCCGUAACCGCGAGGAUCGGCCUAGGGUAAAACUGGUGACUGGGGCU